UUUUCCUCAUUAUCUACCUUGUAAUUGUGAAGGGGGUGUAUGUCUUUCUAUUCCAUCUUGAAGUAAUAUUCAUCUUUAUACCAUUAUAGCUACUCUUAUUUUUGAUAAACAUGUAUGUAUAACCUGAGCAUUAGCUCAGUGGUCAUACCUCUCUGUGUUAGACCAGCCUAGGAACUUAAAUAUGAGUAGGAGAUUUCUCUUAAUGGAGCAGCCCAUGGCCCCCCUUCCUCGGAGUUUGAUAUAUCUGAGCCCCAGCUUACUUCUGAUGGUGCAAUUCGAUGGUUAUCUGUGUCCGUUAAUCUUGUGAUCUCUAGCUUACAUGAAAUGGUUUAAAACCACUUGUGGUUUCCUGUAUUGCUGCCAUAAACAUGACCCUUUCUUGUAAACUCUUCUAUAAUUGGUGGAUGAGUUCUCAGGAAAAAUUUGCCUACGUACCAUGAUCUCCUUUCUUUUUAAAUUUGAACUUCCAGAUCUUGUAGGACUCNNNNNNNNNNNNGAAAAUAAGAUCAGAUUAAUAGGAACAUUUAUUACCUUAUUUAUCUCCUGUAUCUCGAUUUUAUAUUGUAAAUCCAUUAGCACCUACAGGUUCUUUCCUUUUAGCUCUCAGAACAUGCUCAUAUGGUUCUGUAAUAAAUAUGAAAAUUGAUUAUUUCUAAAGGAAUAAAAGUAAUAGCGCACCGAGAUUUCUCUUAAAAAAAUUGUGAGAUUGUUUGGAAAUUCCCAGUGCUCGGAUCAUGAAGACUAAAGUUUGAAUCAUGUAAUGGUUACGUUGUAUGCACAUUAUUUGUCAGAUUAAUAAGGUCCAGGGGGCAUGUAUCGUAAUUACGAUCGAGAUGAAUGAGAGGGAUGGCAUCGGUAAACUAUUUCACUAAAUUAGAAAAUAUUAUAUUUCACUUUAUAUUCUUUCGCUCGAUUAGUGAUAUUGAUAGAUCCCCACAACAAAUCAAAUCAGUGAAUCAAUCUCUAACAGCAGCAAACGGGGGGAGGUCCUCAGGUAGAUCUAUUGUAUGGGGAGGGAUUUAUCCUGCUGAGUUGAGGCAGUUGUUAGAGACCUUGCUCCAAAAAAGUGAAAAAAAAGAGGUUUUUGUAAAAAAGAAACCAGAAGCAGGAAAAUAAUGUUUGCCCUAAACUUCAUUUUGUUUAUAAGUUGCGUGAAGCCAUACAUUGUGCUGCAUUCUGUAAACCUGUGCCUAGCUGCACUUUGUUGCUUGCAUUAACUAAUCUCAGGCCAACAAGAACUAGCCACCAACAUUACUCAUCAUUGGAUCUCUAGGGUACCAGUGGGGGAUUCAAAUGCAGUACCUCCUAUACUGCAAGGAGGUGUUCUAAGAGGAUUUUGAGGUGCCCACAUCAUGAGAAAGUUGAAUAUCUACAAAUACCUCAGCAAUUGACAGACACUAGAUCUCUCUUUGCUCCUAGGCAGGAGUUUUACAAAUUGAUUAACGUGACAAAAUUGGUUAACAUGACAAAUUUUUGCGAGCUCAUGAUCCAAAACUUGUUCAUAAUAUUGCAUAUGAAAUCCCAUAAGCACCCUGUUCAGGGAGCAACGAGCAUAUAACGUAGCUUCAGAUGACAAUCGACAAUGUUUGCUAUAUCAUGCACUCUCUCCAUAGAUUAUGAAAUAUGAAAGUCCUUUCAUAUUUAGAUGCAGAAGUUGAUACCAACAAUUCUGCUUUGCUCCUACACUUUGGAGGAUAGAGUGCGUUGCGCUUAAUCACCUAACCUUCGUAUAAGUAGAUAACCCAAUCAUCUUUUUUAUC
rnacentral:lncRNA from 1 species